UAUGGCCCAACCUCCUUUCUCCUGCCUGUUUCUCUCACUCUCUUUGCCAUGAUGUAAUAUAGACUUGGGGUAGGAGAGGAACAUCUGGAUGGAGCAGUCAGUGCAUCUCCAUCAUAUUAAAGCAACUGAAUGAAAAGAAAAAGAACUGGUCAAACUGAGAAUUAGGUGUUGUUUUUUUUUAAAAAAAAAAAGAAAGAAAGCACCUUGUUUAAAUGGAUUUAACCCAUCAACCUACUUGAGGUUUUCCUUUGAAAUCAAAGAUGGCAACAAUUUAAGUGAAAACAGCAACUAAUAUAGUAAUUUGGCUUUGGAUACAUCCAAAUGAUCUCUUCAAUCUUUGAUGAUUUUGAUGAUCCACUGUUCACUCAACCAAUAUUUUCCAAGUACUCUCAUAUGUCAGGAAAUGUAAGAGGCCCUAAGACUUCAAUGCUACUAGGAAUACUGCCAGAAGACAACCCUUCCUGUCAAAUUCCUUUGGGAAUAACCUGAUCUGUAGAGCACCAAGCAAUGUGGGGGCAUUAUGUCCUGACCUGCUAUUUCCACUUUGGGACAACUCUGCAGGGUCACCCCAGCUUCAGAAGUCCCCCAGCACUGGCUGAGCCUUUGGUCAACUUGAUGGAAGCUCAGCUUCUCCUGUACCCAAAGCCUACUUCCCUUCCUUCUCAUAAAAAAAAAAAA